ACAGAGAGAGCGGCGUACGGGUGCGUAACACGUGUGCAACCUGCCUUUAUCAGGAGGAUAGCCUUUCGAAAAGGGAAGAUUAAUACUCCAUAAUAUAUUAAUUGGCAUCAAAUUGAUAUUGAAACUCCGGUGGAUAAAGAUGGGCACGCGCAAGAUUAGAUAGUUGGUGAGGUAACGGCUCACCAAGUCGAUGAUCUUUAGGGGGCCUGAGAGGGUGAUCCCCCACACUGGUACUGAGACACGGACCAGACUCCUACGGGAGGCAGCAGUGAGGAAUAUUGGACAAUGGGUUAGCGCCUGAUCCAGCCAUCCCGCGUGAAGGAUUAAGGACCUAUGGUUUGUAAACUUCUUUUGUACAGGGAUAAACCUACCCUCGUGAGGGUAGCUGAAGGUACUGUACGAAUAAGCACCGGCUAACUCCGUG
rnacentral:rRNA from 1 species